CGUAUCAUAUCCCAUAAGCCUAUCAUACAUUGAGUGCCUAAUGCAAGAUUUGAUAACCCUGCCACUCACAUCUGGGACAUCCUGGACAUCCUAGAAAGAAGAAGACAUCCAUGGGCAGGGCUUCUAUCAGCAAACAGCAUUGAAUUCCUUCUAUGAAAGUUGGGAUCAAUCUGCAGGGACUUUGCUUUCCUUGGACUUUGCAUUCUCAUGAAGAUGUCUACAGGUCCUUCAGAUCAAAAUGUCCACUGGGCAGUUGGUGAUUCAGACCUGGCUCUCAAGAGAGACUAGGUUUGUGGAAAUACGAAGCUGGCAGUUAUCUGCGUAGAGAUGAAGAAACUGAGGCACAGAAAAAUGAAGCAACCCACCCUGAGUCACACAGGCAGAAAGGA